rnacentral:rRNA from 1 species
UACGAGGGGGGCAAAUGUUGUUCGGAAUCACUGGGCGUAAAGGGAGCGUAGGCGGGUUCUUAAGUUAGGUGUUUAAUCCCGGGGCCCAACCCCGGACCGGCACUUAAAACUGGGAAUCUUGAAUAGUGGAGAGGUCAGUGGAAUUGGGGGUGUAGCGGUGGAAUGCGUAGAGAUCCCCAAGAACACCAGUUGCGAAGGCAGCUCGCUGGGACGGUACUGACGCUGAGGCGCGAAAGCGUGGGGAGCGAACAGG